rnacentral:rRNA from 1 species
AGGACGAACGCUGGCGGCGUGCUUAACACAUGCAAGUCGAGCGAGGCCCCUCCUUCGGGAGGGUGUCCUAGCGGCGAACGGGUGAGUAACACGUGGGCAACCUGCCCUCAGCUCUGGGAUAACCCCGGGAAAACCGGGGCUAAUACCGGAUACGACCUCCACGGGCAUCUGCGGAGGUGGAAAGGUUUUUCCGGCUGAGGAUGGGCCCGCGGCCUAUCAGCUAGUUGGUGGGGUGAUGGGCCCCACAAGGCGACGACGGGUA